UGGCUCAGGAUGAACGCUAGCUACAGGCUUAACACAUGCAAGUCGAGGGGCAGCAUUAGGUAGCAAUACUGAGAUGGCGACCGGCGCACGGGUGCGUAACGCGUAUCCAACCUUCCCGUUACUCUUGGAUAGCCUUCCGAAAGGGAGAUUAAUACAAGAUGGUGUUUCAAAUUCGCAUGUAAAUGAAACUAAAGAUUUAUCGGUAACGGAUGGGGAUGCGUUCCAUUAGCUUGUUGGCGGGGUAACGGCCCACCAAGGCAACGAUGGAUAGGGGUUCUGAGAGGAAGGUCCCCCACACUGGAACUGAGACACGGUCCAGACUCCUACGGGAGGCAGCAGUGAGGAAUAUUGGUCAAUGGUCGAGAGACUGAACCAGCCAAGUAGCGUGAAGGAUGAAGGUUCUAUGGAUUGUAAACUUCUUUUAUAAGGGAAUAAAACCGCCUACGUGUAGGUGCUUGUAUGUACCUUAUGAAUAAGCAUCGGCUAACUCCGUGCCAGCAGCCGCGGUAAUACGGAGGAUGCGAGCGUUAUCCGGAUUUAUUGGGUUUAAAGGGAGCGUAGACGGGAGAUUAAGUCAGUUGUGAAAGUUUGAGGCCCAACCUUAAAAUUGCAGUUGAUACUGGUUUCCUUGAGUGCGGUUGAGGUGUGUGGAAUUCGUGGUGUAGCGGUGAAAUGCUUAGAUAUCACGAAGAACUCCUAUUGCGAAGGCAGCACACUAAGCCGCUACUGACGUUGAGGCUCGAAAGUGUGGGUAUCAAACAGGAUUAGAUACCCUGGUAGUCCACACAGUAAACGAUGAAUACUCGCUGUUGGCGAUAUACGGUCAGCGGCCAAGCGAAAGCAUUAAGUAUUCCACCUGGGGAGUACGCCGGCAACGGUGAAACUCAAAGGAAUUGACGGGGGCCCGCACAAGCGGAGGAACAUGUGGUUUAAUUCGAUGAUACGCGAGGAACCUUACCCGGGCUUAAAUUGCACUGGACAGGCUCAGAGAUGGGCCCUUCUUCGGACCAGUGUGAAGGUGCUGCAUGGUUGUCGUCAGCUCGUGCCGUGAGGUGUCGGCUUAAGUGCCAUAACGAGCGCAACCCUUGCCUUUAGUUACUAACAGUUUAUGCUGAGGACUCUAAAGGGACUGCCAUCGUAAGAUGUGAGGAAGGUGGGGAUGACGUCAAAUCAGCACGGCCCUUACGU
rnacentral:rRNA from 1 species